rnacentral:rRNA from 1 species
CCUACGGGAGGCAGCAGUGAGGAAUCUUCCACAAUGGGCGAAAGCCUGAUGGAGCGACGCCGCGUGCAGGAUGAAGGCCUUCGGGUUGUAAACUGCUUUUAUAAGUGAAGAAUAUGACGGUAACUUAUGAAUAAGCACCGGCUAACUACGUGCCAGCAGCCGCGGUAAU